rnacentral:rRNA from 1 species
UUUAUGGAGAGUUUGAUCCUGGCUCAGGAUGAACGCUGGCGGCGUGCCUAAUACAUGCAAGUCGAGCGAACGGACGAGAAGCUUGCUUCUCUGAUGUUAGCGGCGGACGGGUGAGUAACACGUGGAUAACCUACCUAUAAGACUGGGAUAACUUCGGGAAACCGGAGCUAAUACCGGAUAAUAUUUUGAACCGCAUGGUUCAAAAGUGAAAGACGGUCUUGCUGUCACUUAUAGAUGGAUCCGCGCUGCAUUAGCUAGUUGGUAAGGUAACGGCUUACCAAGGCAACGAUGCAUAGCCGACCUGAGAGGGUGAUCGGCCACACUGGAACUGAGACACGGUCCAGACUCCUACGGGAGGCAGCAGUAGGGAAUCUUCCGCAAUGGGCGAAAGCCUGACGGAGCAACGCCGCGUGAGUGAUGAAGGUCUUCGGAUCGUAAAACUCUGUUAUUAGGGAAGAACAUAUGUGUAAGUAACUGUGCACAUCUUGACGGUACCUAAUCAGAAAGCCACGGCUAACUACGUGCCAGCAGCCGCGGUAAUACGUAGGUGGCAAGCGUUAUCCGGAAUUAUUGGGCGUAAAGCGCGCGUAGGCGGUUUUUUAAGUCUGAUGUGAAAGCCCACGGCUCAACCGUGGAGGGUCAUUGGAAACUGGAAAACUUGAGUGCAGAAGAGGAAAGUGGAAUUCCAUGUGUAGCGGUGAAAUGCGCAGAGAUAUGGAGGAACACCAGUGGCGAAGGCGACUUUCUGGUCUGUAACUGACGCUGAUGUGCGAAAGCGUGGGGAUCAAACAGGAUUAGAUACCCUGGUAGUCCACGCCGUAAACGAUGAGUGCUAAGUGUUAGGGGGUUUCCGCCCCUUAGUGCUGCAGCUAACGCAUUAAGCACUCCGCCUGGGGAGUACGACCGCAAGGUUGAAACUCAAAGGAAUUGACGGGGACCCGCACAAGCGGUGGAGCAUGUGGUUUAAUUCGAAGCAACGCGAAGAACCUUACCAAAUCUUGACAUCCUUUGACAACUCUAGAGAUAGAGCCUUCCCCUUCGGGGGACAAAGUGACAGGUGGUGCAUGGUUGUCGUCAGCUCGUGUCGUGAGAUGUUGGGUUAAGUCCCGCAACGAGCGCAACCCUUAAGCUUAGUUGCCAUCAUUAAGUUGGGCACUCUAAGUUGACUGCCGGUGACAAACCGGAGGAAGGUGGGGAUGACGUCAAAUCAUCAUGCCCCUUAUGAUUUGGGCUACACACGUGCUACAAUGGACAAUACAAAGGGCAGCGAAACCGCGAGGUCAAGCAAAUCCCAUAAAGUUGUUCUCAGUUCGGAUUGUAGUCUGCAACUCGACUACAUGAAGCUGGAAUCGCUAGUAAUCGUAGAUCAGCAUGCUACGGUGAAUACGUUCCCGGGUCUUGUACACACCGCCCGUCACACCACGAGAGUUUGUAACACCCGAAGCCGGUGGAGUAACCUUUUAGGAACUAGCCGUCGAAGGUGGGACAAAUGAUUGGGGUGAAGUCGUAACAAGGUAGCCGUAUCGGAAGGUGCGGCUGGAUCACCUCCUUU